GCUGCUGAUGCUGCUUCUGCCUGCGACGUAACGGCGGAUGAGAACAGGAGAAUAAUCUCUUUUGCUUCAACCAAACGGACGCACACAUUUCGGAGUGGAAACAAGUAAAAGACCUCUGACAAAACAACUGAAAGUCAAAAGAGAGCCCAGAAAAGGUAGCAACUCAACUUUUCCAACCCAAAUCAUUUUCCCACUUAAAAAAGAAGAAAUACAAUAAGAAAUUCCGGAGGGACACGCAGCAGGACGCCCAGGCGAGAGGAAGGAGCACGUUUCUGUCUUCACAAAGUCCACUGACGACAGAGUGGGCAACAGAAGGGAAGCAGAGAGCUGAGAUCCUGUGAGAGCAUGAAGAUAAGCUGUGGCUCCUCCUCACUGCAGCCCGACAAGACAUGACGUAACACGGGUGACCUGCUAAUCAAACAUGAUAGCCAUAAAGCUGUGACUGACAUUGAAAAGCCUACACCCCUUCUGUACCCUACACGGACCCCUAACCUCCUCUGUCACCGUUGCUGAAUUAUU